AUUGAACGCUGGCGGCAUGCCUUACACAUGCAAGUCGAACGGCAGCACGGGAGCAAUCCUGGUGGCGAGUGGCGAACGGGUGAGUAAUAUAUCGGAACGUGCCCAGUCGUGGGGGAUAACGCAGCGAAAGCUGUGCUAAUACCGCAUACGCACUGAGGUGGAAAGCGGGGGAUCGCAAGACCUCGCGCUAAUGGAGCGGCCGAUGUCCGAUUAGCUAGUUGGUGGGGUAAAGGCCUACCAAGGCGACGAUCGGUAGCUGGUCUGAGAGGAUGAUCAGCCACACUGGGACUGAGACACGGCCCAGACUCCUACGGGAGGCAGCAGUGGGGAAUUUUGGACAAUGGGGGCAACCCUGAUCCAGCCAUGCCGCGUGAGUGAAGAAGGCCUUCGGGUUGUAAAGCUCUUUCGGCCGGAACGAAAUCGUGCGGGCUAAUACCCUGCAUGCAUGACGGUACCGGAAGAAGAAGCACCGGCUAACUACGUGCCAGCAGCCGCGGUAAUACGUAGGGUGCAAGCGUUAA
rnacentral:rRNA from 1 species